rnacentral:rRNA from 1 species
UACGUAGGGUGCGAGCGUUGUCCGGAAUUAUUGGGCGUAAAGGGCUCGUAGGCGGUUUGUCGCGUCGGGAGUGAAAUCAUCUGGCUUAACUGGGUGCUUGCUUUCGAUACGGGCAGACUAGAGGUAUGCAGGGGAGAACGGAAUUCCUGGUGUAGCGGUGAAAUGCGCAGAUAUCAGGAGGAACACCGGUGGCGAAGGCGGUUCUCUGGGCAUUACCUGACGCUGAGGAGCGAAAGCAUGGGGAGCGAACAGG